CCUACGGGCGGCAGCAGUAGGGAAUCUUCCACAAUGGGCGAAAGCCUGAUGGAGCAACGCCGCGUGGGUGAAGAAGGUCUUCGGAUCGUAAAACCCUGUUGUUAGAGAAGAAAGUGCGUGAGAGUAACUGUUCACGUUUCGACGGUAUCUAACCAGAAAGCCACGGCUAACUACGUGCCAGCAGCCGCGGUAAUACGUAGGUGGCCAGCGUUAUCCGGAUUUAUUUGGCGUAAAGGGAACGCAGGCGGUCUUUUAAGGCUGAUGUGAAAGCCUUCGGCUUAACCGGAGUAGUGCAUUGGAAACGGGGAGACUUGAGUGCAGAAGAGGAGAGUGGAACUCCAUGUGUAGCGGUGAAAUGCGUAGAUAUAUGGAAGAACACCAGUGGCGAAAGCGGCUCUCUGGUCUGUAACUGACGCUGAGGUUCGAAAGCGUGGGUAGCAAACAGGAUUAGAUACCCGAGUAGUC
rnacentral:rRNA from 1 species